GCCAGGCUCAGUGGUGUAUGCCUGUAAUUCCAGCAUCUUGGGAGGCUGAGGCAGGAGGAUUGUGAAUUCAAAGCCAGCCUCAA
rnacentral:sRNA from 1 species